rnacentral:rRNA from 1 species
GUGUCAGCCGCCGCGGUAACACGGGGGGAGCAAGCGUUGUUCGGAAUCACUGGGCGUAAAGGGCGUGUAGGCGGUCAAGUAAGUGGGAUGUGAAAUCCCUCGGCUCACCCGAGGACCUGCAUCCCAAACUGCUUGGCUUGAGUACGGGAGAGGAUGGAGGAAUUCCUGGUGUAGCGGUGAAAUGCGUAGAUAUCAGGAGGAACACCGGUGGCGAAGGCGUCCAUCUGGCCCGAUACUGACGCUGAGGCGCGAAAGCUAGGGGAGCAAACGGGAUUAGAUACCCCGGUAGUCCUAGCCGUAAACGGUGAGCACUAGGUGUUGGAGGCAUCGACCCCUCCAGUGCCGCAGCUAACGCAAUAAGUGCUCCGCCUGGGGAGUACGGCCGCAAGGUUGAA